UACGUAGGUGGCAAGCGUUGUCCGGAUUUAUUGGGCGUAAAGCGCGCGCAGGCGGUUUCUUAAGUCUGAUGUGAAAGCCCCCGGCUUAACCGGGGAGGGUCAUUGGAAACUGGGAGACUUGAGUGCAGAAGAGGAAAGUGGAAUUCCAAGUGUAGCGGUGAAAUGCGUAGAGAUUUGGAGGAACACCAGUGGCGAAGGCGACUUUCUGGUCUGUAACUGACGCUGAGGCGCGAAAGCGUGGGGAGCAAACAGG
rnacentral:rRNA from 1 species